AUGCUAGGAAGGGUUCUCCACACCUUGCACCUGUUACCUUAUUUAAUCUUUAGAACAACCUUAGGGGGCAGGUUUUAUUACCAUCUCUGCUUUAAGGAUGAGGAAACCGGGGCAGACAGCGAGAACCUCACGUGUUUCAGGACACAGCCGGCAAGCACCGAGUCCGGAUCCAAACCCCGGCUGCCUGGCUCCACGGUUCACACUUUCAACCACUCCACCAGGGUCAAGUCUGUCUGGUGCACUCGCUCUAGCCUCACAACCUAUCAGGUGCCUAGCCGCCGCGGGUGGAAGGAAGGAAUGAAUGAAAUAAUCCUGUACAGGGGCAGUGUGGACCUCCCACUCUGCCAACACCUCCUGGUCCGGCAAGCCCGUGCCCUCCUGCCCCCGACGCGCCGACGCGAGCUGCCCCGACACCGCGCCACGCCGCGGCCGCAGAACGACCACCCGCCACGGCGCGCGAGGUCAAGGGACGGUGACAGCCGGGCGGCGGGGGCGGAGAUGCUACCAGCCGGGGUGUCACCCAAGCCGGGAGGCGAUUCGCGCUCCCUCGCGGGAACUGCCGGUCCGCUCGCCCCCUCAGCGCUCGCUCGCCUGGCGGCUGCCCCGCACCCCCUUGCCCCGCGGGGUCACCCCCCCAAUCCCGGUUCCCUUCCCAUUCCACUUCCCUCCCCUCCCCCACACAACCGUCCCCGGCGUCCCGCUGCGCCCCAUCCUUCACCGCCUCCGCCCGGCUCCCGGGACUCCCCGGGCCCCGGGCGUCUGCUGGCCCUCACCUGCCAUGUCCCGGACCCCACCGUAGAGGGAGGUGCAUCACGGCCGCGAGAAGGCCGGGGACGGCACUUCAGAGCAGACAAAGGGCGCCGCCAUGUCAGAGUCGGGCGGAACCGACCUCGCCGGCUUCCCGGCUGCAACUUCCGGCGCAUGCGCAGCACCCGCGCCGGCCGAGGACCGCGGACAGGCGCAUGCGCCUACCUGCCCAGAAGUUCUGUAUUAUACACAGUACUUCGGCACUUAGAAUUGUCCUCAUUGUAA
rnacentral:lncRNA from 1 species